AGCAGCCGCGGUAAUUCCAGCUCCAAUAGCGUAUAUUAAAGUUGUUGCAGUUAAAAAGCUCGUAGUUGAAUUUCGGGGUCUGUCCGUCGGUCGGGCUUCACGGUCCGUACUGGUGUGAUGGGUUCCUACCUUCUGAAUAACCGGCAUGCCAUUCAGUUGGUGCGCCGGGGAAGCAGAGCUAUUACCUUGAAAAAAUUAGAGUGCUUAAAGCAGGCUAGUGCUUGAAUAGAUUAGCAUGGAAUAAUAAAAUAGGACGGCAUGGUUCUAUUUUGUUGGUUUCUAGGAUCACCGUAAUGAUUAAUAGGGAUAGUUGGGGGCAUUAGUAUUCAAUUGUCAGAGGUGAAAUUCUUGGAUUUAUUGAAGACUAACUUCUGCGAAAGCAUUUGCCAAGGAUGUUUUCAUUAAUCAAGAACGAAAGUUAGGGGAUCGAAGACGAAUCAGAUACCGU
rnacentral:rRNA from 1 species